GUUUCUGAGUCCCAGGCAGUGAUGAGUGUCACACUCAAGGGGGGUGCUGGGGAGGGAGCAGCUUCAGCCCAGACCCCCAGUGCAGGUGCUGCUCCAGCCCUGAAGGUGAGAGGAGCCAGGGUCGGGGGCAGCAGUGGACCAAGGCUCCCAACAGGGGAGAAGCUAGACUGGAUUGGGGCCUCCCAGGGGCUUCCCCUCUACCUGCAUCAGUGUUUCUUAGGGUGUCCACAUCCCAUUACUGCUCAGCACCUUGCCCAUCUCCCCGAGGAUCGGGAGCUGUCUGGCAUGCAGCCUUUGGCGCUGAGGGGACUCUCAGUGUUCAUGGGACACUGGGAUCUGAGCAUCAGUCCAUGGAGCCUGAGCUCACUAUGGCUCUCGUGAUCUCUAUGAGAUAAUGUGAAGUCUUCUGUUUGUCUCUCUGUCUGUCUGUUACAGCAUCCCACAACCAUGGCUGGCAGAUGCCAAGGGGAUGUGUGAGAUGGCCCAGCUCCAGGAUGAAACUCAACUUUAGGGAAGCUGGGGAGAGCCUCACAGCGCUGGACAAGCCAUCAGAUGGCACUGCCCCCAGGGACACACCCGGGGGCGUGGACAGGGAUAUGGAGGACCUAAGGCAAAGGGUGGCUUCAAACGUGACAGCAGAUCAGCCGCUGGGGAAAUACCAGAGGGGAUUUGACAGCUGGGCCAGGUGUUCCAGGACAGCACUUUCCAAAAGAUUUUCCAUCCAAACUUCCAGCAAGAAGUAGAUCUUCCAUCGUUAUCCAGAGCAUAUCUACGCAUUCAGGUAACUGAAGCAACAUUCCAGGAACCCUCACCAUCCCUCCCGUUGAACAGUUCGCUCUCCAGCUGGAGUCAGCUCUGGGCUGCCUCACUUUAACAAAAUGCUGGUUGCAGCCAUUGGAAUUAAUUUUACACCCUCUGAGUUGCAGUGCAAAAUUUGAAGACUGGCAUUUGGAAGCUCAGUAUCAUCAAGGAUUCAUUUAUUUUAUGAUGGUUGACAACAUUUUCCAGGCCACACUAACUGGGUCAGCUGGUAAUAAUAAUAAUAUGAUAAUUGGCCGGGCACGAUGGCUCACGCCUGUAAUCCCAGCUCUUUGGGAGGCUGAGGUGGGCUGAUCGCCUGAGAUCAGGAGUUCGGGACCAGCCUGAUCAACAUGGUGAAACCCCGUCUCUACUAGAAACACAAAAAUUUAGCAUGAUGGCGGGCACCUGUAGACCAGCUGCCUGGGAGGCUGAAGCAGGAGAAUUGCUCGAACCCGGGAGGCAGAGGCCACAGUGAGCCGAGAUAGCACCAUUGCACUUCAGCCUGGGCAGCAGAGUGAAACUCCAUCUCAAAAUAAUAAUAAUAAUAAUAAUAAUAAGCCCCUGAAGGUAUUACACAUGCAGCACUUUCCAGUUUAAAAAGGACUUUCAAAGGACAAGUAGUGUAUGGUCCCAUCCAUAGGAGGUAUCCAGAGUACCCAAAUAUAGAGAUGGGAACUAGCAUGGUGGGUGCCAGGGGCUGGGGGAGGGAGGAAUGGGAAGUUGGUGUUGAAUGGGGACAGAAUUUGAGUUCUGCAAGAUGAAAAAGAUCUAGACAUGCCAUUGCACUCCAGCCUGGGCAACAGAGUGAGACUCCGUCUCAAAAAAAAAAAAGAAAAAGCCAGUUGCGGUGGCUCACGCCUGUAAACCCAGCACUUUGGGAGGCCGAGGCAGGUGGAUCAUGAGGUCAGGAGUUUGAGACCAGCCUGACCAACAUGCUGAAACCCCAUCUCUACUAAUAAUACAAAAAUUAGCUGGCAUGGUGGUGGGCGCCUGUAAUCCCAGCUACUCAGGAGGCUGAGACAGGAGAAUCGCUUGAACCCGGGAGAAAGAGAUUGCCAUGAGCUAAGAUUGCGCCACUGCACUCCAGCCUGGGCAACAGAGCAAGACUCUGAAAAAAGAAAAAUCUAGAAAUGGAUGGUGGUGAUGGUUGCACGACAUUGUGAAUGUAGUUAAUGCCACUGAACUGUGUACUUAAAAAUGGUCAAGAUGGGCCAGGCGCGGUGGCUCACACCUGUGAUCCCAGCACUUUGGGAGGCCCAGGCGGGUGGAUCAUGAGGUUAGGAGAUCGAGACCAGCCUGGCCAACAUGGUGAACCCCAUCUCUACUAAAAAUACAAAAAUUAGCUUGUCGUGGUGGUGCAUGCCUGUAAUCCCAGCUACUCAGGAGGCUGAGGCAGGAGAAUCGCUUGAACCAGGGAUUCGGAGGUUUCAGUGAGCUGAGAUCACGCCACACUGCACUCCAGCCUGGCGACACAGCAAGACUCUCAAAAAAAAAAAAAAGGUCAAGAUGAUAAAUUUUAGGUUGUGUGUAUGUUACUGCUUUUUCACAGAUGAAGAAAACAACACUGACAUGCAUUAUCUCCCAACACCAACCUCAACCCAGCCCUGGAGUGUGAGCAGAGCCAGCAGCAUUUCCAGCCCCGCCUCUGGAGGAAGGAGAGGAACCUGAGACUCUUGGGUGACCUGAGGCGUCUCUGGCAGCACCAGCAAAAGAGCCUGGCCCUGGCCGCCCAGCACAGGUGCUCAGUCCCUCCUGACUGCCACUGCUCCCUCAACACCAAAGCACAGGGUCGCGAGAUGUUGGGAGAGGGUCGGGGAUGCUGGGCUGGGAGAGGACCGGGGGCCUGUCAGAAGCCAUGACAUGAUGCACUCACCGCUCAGGAGGAAGCUACUGGCCUUUGAGUGAAAUCUAUAAGAAUGAACUCUGGAGAUGUAUCGUACAACAUGGAGUCUACAGUUAAAAACUGUAUUGUAUACUGGAAAAUUGCUAAGAUUAGAUCUUCCAUGUUCUCACUACAAAAGCAUAAGUAUGUGAGAUGACGGACGUGUGUGUCAGCUUGAUUUAAUCAUUUUGCAGUGUGGCAAAGCAUCGCACUGUAGGUGGUAAAUAUAUAUACAGUUUUGUCAAUUAUACCUUCAGGAAGCUGGGGUGGUUGGUGUGUGUGUGUGUGUCUGUGUGAUGUGAGGUCAGUGAGGUGCUGAACAUGGUGCAUUAAACAGCAUUUUCAUUCUUAUCUCAUGAUUCCUGGACUUGAACCGUUGAGUGGCUUCUGGCUAAACCCAAACCUGUUUCCUGCUCUCUAACCACACCUCCCUCUAGGACCGGUUGGAGGAGCCUCAGCCCAGGCCCCUGAGCUCAAGCCCUGGGGGACUCCUGCUGGGCAGCUCUCUGGACCCCAGUGAGAUGCUCCACAGACCCAGGGCGCCCUCGGGGAAGUGGGGAAGGAGGGAAGUCAGGUGCAUCACCUCUUGGGACCAGCCCCGAGGGGACUCAAGCCCAUCCAGGGCGCAGGUGCCUCCAAAGGAAAGCCCCAAGGGAGGGUCUUGGGGGGCCAUGGCGCAUCCCACCUCCCUGUGUGACCUCAGCUCUUGCUGACCCUCUGCCUGUGGUGGGAGGUCCCCAAACAAAG
rnacentral:lncRNA from 1 species